UACGGAGGAUGCGAGCGUUAUCCGGAUUUGUUGGGUUUAAAGGGUGCGCAGGCGGCACGGCAAGCCGGCGGUCAAAUCGCGGGGCUCAACCCCGCCCAGCCGUCGGAACUGCCGGGCUAGAGUGGGCGAGAAGUGCGCGGAAUGCGUGGUGUAGCGGUGAAAUGCAUAGAUAUCACGCAGAACUCCGAUUGCGAAGGCAGCGCACCGGCGCCCUACUGACGCUCAGGCACGAAAGCGUGGGUAUCGAACAGG
rnacentral:rRNA from 1 species